rnacentral:tRNA from 1 species
UGUAGCUUAGUAGUAAAGUGCUUGUCUGGCAUGCAUGAGGCCCUGGAUUCAAAUACCAGCA